UAAUCCCAUUAUGCUUGUCGUUUACUAAUGUGGAAUAGUUGUUUGGUAAUGGUCUAGAAUUGUUUGACUCAACUUUGAGUCAAGUCACGUGGUAUUGAUGCUGAACAAACUAUUGAUAUUUUAUCUUUUUUAUUGUCUAAGAUAGCCUUAAUUAAGCUCCAUUGUACCUCCUAAUGAUAUUGCUUGGAUGUUGGCUUGGAGUGAUGGCUAUGUCAAGUACUAUGCUUUGAUCGACUAUAUCUUAGCUAUCCAAUUUUUGGAUUAUUUUUUUUCUUAGAUCCUUGCCUUAAACAACUUGGUUCAUCCUUGUCUUGUUCAACUUGGCUCAUCCUUGUCAUAUACUAGCUUAUUCUAAUAGAACAAUUUCUACAAAAU
rnacentral:lncRNA from 1 species